rnacentral:rRNA from 1 species
GCAAGUCGAGGGGUAACAAUGGUGCUUGCACCAGUUGACGACCGGCGCACGGGUGAGUAACGCGUACACGACCUACCUUCAAGAGGGGGAUAGGCUAUGGAAACGUAGAUUAAUACCCCAUGUGAUUAUAUUUAUAAAGGAUGUAAUUAAAGUUCCGGCGCUUGAAGAUGGGUGUGCGUCCCAUUAGUUAGUUGGUGAGGUAAUGGCUCACCAAGACGAUGAUGGGUAGGGGGCCUGAGAGGGUGGUC